rnacentral:tmRNA from 1 species
AGCCUUCAAAUCCCGCGGGCGAUCGCCUAUAUCUAGCGGUGUCGGGCAACCGACUAUGGCGAUAAACGAAGUUCGGAAUAGACGUUACGGACCCGGGGGCGGUACCCGGCGCCUCCACCAUGUGCCGAUGGCCGAUCGCGGUCGUCGGCAGAUGAUGGGGGCGAAACAGGAUCGACGUGCGUAGUAAAGGGAUGCUCUUUCGCCCGGCAUGAUACCGCCGUUAUCGGGUCAAUCCUACAAGUGCCAACGACAACGAAAUGGCGCUCGCUGCCUAAUUUUUAGGUAAGCGCGGUUCGGGGGGCACCGGGCAACAGAAGCCCCCCACC